CGCCAGUGGCGUUCACGUCAGGCCACGCCCCUAGCGGUCUGGGCCAAUCAGAGGCGCGGAGCUCCAGUUUAGUCACCGCAGAGGCUCUGCAAGCCUCUGGACCAGAGGAGCGCGCUGGCCUUUGCCGGACCCUCGGACGCUACAGAGGUGAUUCGAGAAUCACCAGAGCUUGGCCUGUCCUGUUGCUGUAGGAACAGCCUGCGGCCUUCUUUCCUGAUCCCCAGCUCCGGUGGCUGCCCCAAUUUCCGAUACAGAUGCUCAGAAUGCGCGUCCGGGGCCCCCUGCCCAUGGGCAGACCCCCCUUUAUAAAGCCGAGUUUGCGCCUGUGCCUCUCUAAUAGAUUCAGCUUCCAGGGCAGGGAUCGUAUCUUUUUUGCCUUUGCAUUCCUAACGCCUAGCACACCUAAUAUAAGACAGGGAUCAGAAAUGAGGAGAUCCAUACCCACCAAAAUAAGGAGAUUCAAAGUGGGAGCCAAUAUGGGAGCAAAAAUGAUACCCUUCCAUUUGGACAGACUACAGAGGCUGGACAGUAUAGUAUAAUAGAAUGCCAAGAACCAUCAUUUACUAAAAGCUUGCAGAUGUUGGGAAGUGUGUGUGAAUUGCCCCAUCUAAUGCAACUCUGUGAGGUAUGUCCUCUUAUUCUUGUUUUACAGGUUAGAAAACAGAGCCACUGAAUCGAAGCAGCUGAUGCUUGGGUUGUUUCCAAUCUUUUUGGGGGAUGGGUGACUGUAAGCUCAUGUACCAGUGGAACAGCUUAGCUGAUGAGCAUACAGUCCACACUGCAGGGGCAGCAGAGUAAGGAGCUGGAAGUAGAACUCGUCCUUCUCAGGCCUCCGUGGAGCAGAACUCCCAAACUAGCCUGGACCUUUGGACUUCAUGCAGCUGCAAGCAAAAUAAACAUAAGUCCUCUUUAAGCC